GACGUAGGGCGCGAGCGUUUGUCCGGAUUUAUUGGGCGUAAAGAGCUCGUAGGCGGCUUGUCGCGUCGAAUGUGAAAACUCGGGGGCUCAACUCCGAGCUUGCAUUCGAUACGGGCAGGCUAGAGUUCGGUAGGGGGAGACUGGAAUUCCUGGUGUAGCGGUGAAAUGCGCAGAUAUCAGGAGGAACACCGAUGGCGAAGGCAGGUCUCUGGGCCGAUACUGACGCUGAGGAGCGAAAAGCGUGGGGGAGCGAACAGGG
rnacentral:rRNA from 1 species